rnacentral:rRNA from 1 species
GGAAUAUUGGUCAAUGGGCGAGAGCCUGAACCAGCCAAGUCGCGUGAAGGAUGAAGGUUCUAUGGAUUGUAAACUUCUUUUAUUCGAGGGUAAAGUGCCGGACGUGUCCGGUAUUGCAAGUAUCGAAUGAAUAAGCAUCGGCUAACUCCGUGCCAGCAGCCGCGGUAAUACGGAGGAUGCGAGCGUUAUCCGGAUUUAUUGGGUUUAAAGGGUGCGUAGGCGGGCUGUUAAGUCAGCGGUGAAAGGAUGCGGCUCAACCGUAUUUAGCCGUUGAAACUGGUAGUCUUGAGUGCAAACGAGGUAGGCGGAAUGUGACGUGUAGCGGUGAAAUGCUUAGAUAUGUCCCAGAACUCCGAUUGCGAAGGCAGCUUACCGGCAUGCGACUGACGCUGAGGCACGAAAGCGUGGGUAUCAAACA